rnacentral:sRNA from 1 species
CAAUGGAAGGCGUCGCCGGCAUUCGUCGCCCCCCGCCGACGGCGCUUCCGGGGAGCGGGCUCAUCAAGGUUCGCUCCCACUGGCUACCUUCCGGUGGAAUACGCCCCCCUCCGUCGGAAGGCCUAAGGGCGGUGAGGUCCCCCAGCUUCACCGCCCGCUUUU